UUGGCCGCGCCUGGUCGCGCCUCAUAUGACGUCAGAGACAGAGACCAAUGGGAGUCCAAGGGCAGCCUCGCGGGAAGACGGCAAGGGAGGCCGAUGGAAGUUAGUCUAAAUAUGGCAGAAGGGCCACCUGAAAGAGAUUUCUGCCAGAUCGAAGCAAGGAAGCAACAGGCAUCUGACCUGUAAGCCAGGCAGACACCGUGAUUGGAGGCUUCAAGCCAGGCUUAUCAGCACCUAAACAACAAGACUGAAAACCAAACGCCAGAGUGGACAAAGAGCACCUCUGAAUUCCUGCUGGACCAGAGAUGUGAGGACCAGACAUCUCCUGCUUCUCCUCAUCCUGGCACCUUACACAUUAGCUAACCAGACACAGCCCUGAGGAAGGGCGCUGGCCUUCCAUGAUAAGAUUAUUGUCCCUGGCAGCUGAGUGGGCCUUAAAGUAAAAAUAAAGUUCAGUUACAGAAAAAAUA